CUGAUACGUGAUUUCUACCCCAUGCACUUUGUAUUCAGUGUUUGAAUGUUUAGUUUGACCCAUGGGAAGCUCCACCGAGAUAUUUCUGUCACUGUUGGGAACACGUUGGUGCCGUCCACAGGUAAACCUCGAGUUAUACCGGCCUAUUCACUAAAUUGCAUCUUCAAAUGGACAGUGCGACAGGGAGCCCUCCAGGAGCCAGUAACGCUCACCCAGCAGCAGCCCAGAGAGCGGACCUGCUUGGACCUUUGCCCCGUGGCUGCCCUGCAAGGCCCCGGCGGCCGUGAAGACACACGCGGCACCUCUUUGGAAGAGUCCGUUUGGCUUCUCCCAUCUGGAGUCAGUCUUCCACCCCGUCCAAACUGGGGUGUGAGGAGGAUGUGUGGACAGGUGUGUCAGCGCUCAGCAGCUGCAUUUAGGAGAGACUUUCUUCUUCUUCUCCUUUUUCUUUUAAUUUGUCAGAGAGAGAGCACAAGCAGGGGUUGCGACAGGCAGAGGGAGAAGCAGACUCCCCGCUCAGCAGGGUGCCCGACUCAGGGCUUGAUUCCAGGACCCCAAGAUCAUGACCUGAGCCAAAGGCAGACGCUUCACCAAAUGAGCCACCCAGGCAUCUCUAGGAGUGACUUUCAACCUCAUGCCACAGGGUCUGAGCUGGAAAAGGAAACCCACCUCUGUGGCUGCAAGGGUCUCCCAAUAAUUGUCAGACCAGUGCACACAGAUGGCUUUCAGCUCUGCCCGAGGCUUCAGACCUUCCUUCUGGAUGUCUCCCCUGGGCGUCCCAUGGGCACUUUAAACAUACAUUCCAGACUGAACAUGCCACUUUUCCUCCACUAUUCCCCAAACUGCCCUUUCCUUGCUAGUCUGGAUUCUGACUGUAAUGCUCUCGCCACCAGCACCAUUACCCAAGCCAAAUCCUGGCUCUCAUCCUCCACCCUUUCUGUGACCCUUCCCUUUCCUUCUUUUGGAACUGUGGAGCAAGGCAUCAGGGCCCCCAGUGACUGCUGAGCUCAACGCAAACGGGCAAUGCAAACAGGCUCAUGAAACGACCCACCUCUAAAUAGCCAUAGGCCCUCACUGACCAGUUAUAGCCAGGCGCAGUUCCUAAGAUCACCAAAAAGGGGAAAAUUCCCUAUGUCCCCAUACUCCCUCACUCCGCCCUGUGACUGUGGCCCCUCACCACCGCCUCGGAGCAGACAGUCUGUCCUCUGCUGGCCUGCGCACUGCUUCCUUGCAGUGUAUUCAAUACACUUCUCUCUUGUUCUGCGUGGGGUGAGUUAUAUCACCAUCUGCGCCGCCGG
rnacentral:lncRNA from 1 species